rnacentral:rRNA from 1 species
GAUGAACGCUGGCGGCGUGCCUAAUACAUGCAAGUCGAGCGAAGCGGGGAGGGGUGAGUAACACGUGGAUAACCUCCUUUAAGGCUGGGAUAACUUCGGGAAACCGGAGAUAAACCGGCUACUUGUAGAUGGCUCUUCGCUGCAUUAGCUAGUUGGUACGGUAACGGCUUACCAAGGCAACGAUGCAUAGCCGACCUGAGAGGGUGAUCGGCCACACUGGAACUGAGACACGGUCCAGACUCCUACGGGAGGCAGCAGUAGGGAAUCUUCGGCAAUGGGCGAAAGCCUGACGUAGCAACGCCGCGUGAGUGAAGAAGGUCUUCGGAUCGUAAAACUCUGUUAUUAGGGAAGCGGUACCUAAUCAGAAAGCAACGGCUAACUACGUGCCAGCAGCCGCGGUAAUUC